AGCAGCCCCGUCCAGAUCCGAAGCAAUCUUGGGAAAUGUGUACUCAGCCGAUGCAUUGGUGAGCUGUAGAAAGUCUAUGACGGUCACUGAAUAAAGUGGCCUCAUAUGAACACAAUGCAACAAGAGUGAAUCUAUAUUUCUCUUACGGUCCAACUGAAACUAUGUGCAUUGCCUUAUAAGCACUGGCACGGCCCAUGUACCUCCAAAGUCUCCAAAGUAUAAUGGUGAAUCCUCCCCGGCCCUAAUUCGGAGGGAAUUGCCCUUC